AUGGGGGCGACGGGCGACGCGGAGGACGCGGCGGCGGGGUGCCGCGCGCGGGCGGCGCUGCUGGGCGCGUACGAGCUGGGGCGCACGCUCGGGGAAGGCAACUUCGGCAAGGUGAAGCAGGCGCGCAACCGCGCCACCGGGGAGCACUUCGCCGUGAAGAUCCUGGACCGCGGCAGGGUGCUCUCCCUCCGCGGCGCCGACGACCAGGUCCGCAGGGAGAUCGCCACGCUCACCAUGCUCGCGCACCCCAACGUCGUCCGCCUCCACGAGGUUGCUGCUAGCAAAACAAAGAUCUAUAUGGUGCUUGAGUUUGUCAACGGAGGCGAACUUUUUGACAGGAUUGCAAUAAAGAGAAAACUAUCUGAACGAGAAGGAAGGAGGCUUUUUCAGCAGCUAAUUGAUGGUGUGAGCUAUUGCCAUGGAAAGGGUGUCUACCACAGAGACCUCAAGCCUGAAAAUGUUCUUAUUGAUCGGAAAGGCAACAUCAAGAUAUCUGAUUUUGGUCUAAGUGCUUUACCACAACAUCUUGGGAAUGAUGGAUUGCUGCAUACAACCUGUGGUAGCCCCAACUAUAUUGCUCCUGAGGUUCUGCAGAACAGAGGUUACGACGGAUCAUUGUCGGAUAUCUGGUCUUGUGGAGUAAUUCUUUACAUAAUGCUCGUAGGACACCUUCCGUUUGUUGACCGAAAUAUGGUUGUUCUUUAUCAGAAGAUUUUCAAGGGUGACACUCAGAUCCCGGAGUGGCUUUCACCUGGUGCACAAAACCUUCUUCGUCGAAUUCUUGAACCAAAUCCGAUGAAGAGGAUUAACAUGGCAGAGAUCAAAAUACACGAAUGGUUUCAGAAGGACUAUAUUCCUGCUGCUCCAUAUGAUGACGAUGAUGAAGAUGUACGGCUUGGUGCAAUUCUACCUAUCAAACAGCAAAUUAGUGAAGCACCCGGCGACAAGAGUACUCAUCAGAUGAACGCUUUUCAGCUGAUCGGAAUGUCAUCUUCCCUCGAUCUUUCAGGUUUAUUUGAGGAAGAGGGAGUGUCCCAGAGAAAGAUCAGGUUCACAUCAGCACAUCCACCGAAGGAUUUGUUCGACAAGAUUGAAGUGUCCGCGACGCAGUCGGGGUUCCAUGUUCAGAGAGCACAUAGCAAGCUCAAAAUAACGGGCAAUUGCAAUGGACCGAACAACCCCACACCAUUCUUAGUCUGUGCCGAGGUGUUUGAGCUUGGCCCCUCUCUGCAUGUUGUAGAGCUUAGGAAGUCUCAUGGUGACACUGCAGUGUACAGACAGCUCUGUGAUAGGAUCUCGAGUGACCUGGGAAUUGACAAGAUUUUUGGGAUGGGUUCGCUCUUCGACGACAACCUCCCGAGCUUCGACAGCAGAGCCGCGACACCACUGGUUGCCUUGUGA
rnacentral:rRNA from 1 species